rnacentral:lncRNA from 1 species
GGAGUAACAGUGGACUUUGAUGCCUUCUGAAAUCCACGAUCUAGAAACGGAGCUGGGCAGAGCUCCUAAGGUUAUCGAGAUAACUUCUGUCAUUUUUGCAGCCACCUGCAGUGAGGCCUUUGAAACUGUGUGGUCUGAGGACGGAAGACCUUUACAGCUCUGGAGUAGGAGGAGACCUGCAGCAGGAAGAUGUGUUCUCUGAACCCAGAGAGCAGCACAGAAGGUGCCUGCAAACAGGUCAGCAAGAAAAAGCUUCCCGAGCACUGAAGAUAACUGGUGGUGAUAAGGAAGAGGGUGAAGUCUGCAGCCUGACUGACAGCUGUGAAGAAGCCUUGAGGAAGACCAGUGAUGAGCACCUCAUUGAAAGGAUUUCACUUGAUUCUUCUUGCCACUCCUGUCUGUCCCAGUCUUCCUCAGGUUUAUCACAGGCUCAGGAAGGUGCAGUGUUCUCCAACCUGAACUUCUGUCUAAUUCCAUCCCCUCCAAAAAGCCCUUCACCUGCGUCUGUAACGGGUGUUGCAGCAAGACCCUGGAAAACAAGGCGCCACAGGGUAAGAUGCCUAAAAAUACCCAGCCAAGAGGAGGACAGGCAGUGGACACAGCGAUGCCAGUCAAGGACUCAUCAAGAAACUUCAGCCCAGCCUCUGGGCAAGGAACUUGCUCCACUGAGCCAGCCCAGCGUGCCGGCUGCCUCCGGCUCCCGAGGGCAGCGCCAGCCUCCUGGGAGCACUGCCUGGCAAACAUCUAUUUCAGGACCAGCAGCUGUUGGAUCCAUGAGCAUCAGGCCCAUUGUGGGUGAGAGCCCUCCUGGAAAGAUGAACCACCACAAGACAGCUGUCUGCUCACCCCCAAAAGCCUCAGAGAGGCUGGAACUGAUGAACACUGCUUGGCCCCUGACGGCCAGGGCCAUGCUGCAGUCACUGCCAGACAAACCCGCUGCCUCAACAACAUCUCAGAACAAAAGUACCAGGUCCUAGAAGAUACCCAGGUGGCAGCGUGUAUUGGGGCACAGUCUGGAAGCACCGAUGCUAUCUUUCAGCUGCUUCUGCAAGCUAGACACAGAGCUGUGCAAGUAGAGCAGUUCAAACAAAUGACAUGAUUUGCCUCAAUUAAGGCUACAGCUGCUCCAGAAAUACUUGCUUUAAAGAGCACCCGCUGAUCAACAGAAGAGCUAAUCAAACUCUUAUUACAGAAAAGUGUGGUUAUUUUUGCAGCCUUCGUGCACUAAAACAGAACAAGUCCUAACGUAUUUCCUCCCAUCCACACCAUGCCCUGCUCUGUGAGUCAGGCAGGGACACUGACCCAGACAGAGCACGGAGCCUGCAGUUUGUGGAGUGCCUGGAGGAUGUGAGGGCCAUGGGGUGCCCCGCCCCACCCCCAGCAGCAGCCCCUCCACAUAUCUUUUGCAGUCCUGGAUGUUUAACAUACGAGGGACAAAGCCAAGGGCUGGAGAGGAAGAAGAGCCGGGAAGGCUGGGUGGUUUCAGAGCUUAUGCUCCCACAGGAGGUCACCUCGUUCCCAGGCAUCCAAGGUCCUUGUUGCCUGCAUCUCUAUGGCAGUGAAUGCUGACCAAGUGGCUCAUCCCAAUACUAACAUCUGUGUUUGCUUUGUAGCUACCUGGAAGGAUUUCUCUUGCUCCCUGUGGAGAGACUGGGAUUGCGUUAGCAGAGCUGACCUCUUUGAGCAGGUGUCAGAGCAUCCCCUGCCUGCACCUUUAGAGCCGAGCGUCCCCCGUCUAGUUUUUUAGGUCAAAUAGACUUUCCAGUUUCAUACAACUGAAUAACUCCAAGUAAUGCUGCAGAAAAGACAAGGCAGGGAAGUAAGGGUAUAAUCUCUUGUUUUUCCAAUAGGACAUUUGCUUGAUAAUUGAAGCCAUCUACUUCUUCCUUCCAUUCUUCACCAACGGGAUCUCCACGUAACGCCAUGAUGUUCUUCAUGCUUUAUUUGCUUUAUGUUCGGGUGAGAUUCCAAACAUCU